rnacentral:rRNA from 1 species
GGAGCGCUUAGAAGUGAGAAUGCCGGUGUGAGUAGCGAAAGACGGGUGAGAAUCCCGUCCACCGAUUGACUAAGGUUUCCAGAGGAAGGCUCGUCCGCUCUGGGUUAGUCGGGUCCUAAGCUGAGGCCGACAGGCGUAGGCGAUGGAUAACAGGUUGAUAUUCCUGUACCACCUAUAAUCGUUUUAAUCGAUGGGGGGACGCAGUAGGAUAGGCGAAGCGUGCGAUUGGAUUGCACGUCUAAGCAGUAAGGCUGAGUAUUAGGCAAAUCCGGUACUCGUUAAGGCUGAGCUGUGAUGGGGAGAAGACAUUGUGUCUUCGAGUCGUUGAUUUCACACUGCCGAGAAAAGCCUCUAGAUAGAAAAUAGGUGCCCGUACCGCAAACCGACACAGGUAGUCAAGAUGAGAAUUCUAAGGUGAGCGAGCGAACUCUCGUUAAGGAACUCGGCAAAAUGACCCCGUAACUUCGGGAGAAGGGGUGUUCUUUAGGGUUAACGCCCAGAAGAGCCGCAGUGAAUAGGCCCA